UACGUAGGGUGCAAGCGUUGUCCGGAAUCACUGGGCGUAAAGGGCGCGUAGGCGGCUCAUGAAGGCUGUGGUGAAAGUCCGGGGCUCAACCUCGGAUCGGCCGUGGCGACUCGUGGGCUGGAGCACUGUAGAGGCGGGUGGAAUUCCGGGGGUAGCGGUGGAAUGCGUAGAGAUCCGGAAGAACACCAGUGGCGAAGGCGGCCCGCUGGGCAGUGGCUGACGCUGAGGCGCGACAGCGUGGGGAGCAAACAGG
rnacentral:rRNA from 1 species